ensembl:lncRNA
GCUUCUGGGGAAGGGGUUGGGGGCUUAGAGAGGGGGAGAAAUUUUUCAGUCUACACCCUUUAGUAUGGUGUAAAUUUGUAAUUAUAUGCAUUUCAUACUUUUUCUAUCGAAAAAUCUCAUUUGAAAAGUCCUUCAAGCAGAUUGAAGGACAGCCUGCAGGCUCCUCGGGUUUGCUCCACUGCAGCAGGUGGCUCAGGAGAGAGAAGCCUCCGCCAUGGCAGGCUGAAUCCAGCAGUUCUUGGAAGGAUUUCAAAGGGUAGAGUGGCAGCAUCUCCCCUUAGCCUCUGCUCACUCCCCAUAGCAGAGACCUUCGAAAAGAGAAGCAAAUCCUCACUGGGCUGUCCUCUCUACCCUGGCUGGACCGCUGCUGCCCAGCUGCAGAAGGCCUCUUCAGUCGUCGGCCCAUGAGUCCCCCUCCAAGGGGCUGGCCUUAGAGGGAGCAGCUGAGCCUAAACUACAAGCCUAAAGAGCCGAUAUGGCUGUCUAUUCUGGGGCAAGAGCUGCCCAGCUGUCCUCAAAUUUCCUCAAAAGGAGGGACUUGGAGGUGGCUGGUGGAUGCAGAGGUAGGGCUGGCUAUCCCAGUUAAAGCUGAGUUUGGAGAGUAACUAGUCAUCAGUUUCCUGGGAGUAGCCAUCUUCUCUCUGCUGAUAAACAACCAAGAGGGAAGUUAGUAGAAUUACAGCAUGAAGGAUUUUAGCUACAUAUCAAGUGGGCCUUCCAGACAAUCAGGGCUCUCCAUGAGCAGUGGAGUAUAGUGAUUAAGAACAUAGACCCCGAAGUCAGACACCCCCAGGCUUGGAUACUAGCUCUAGCAAAUGGCAGUUCUGUGUCUUUGGGCAAUUCAGCCUCUCUGUGAGUUUCCUUUUUCUUUUUUUUAUUCCUAAAAAGGUAUAACAAUAGUAGAGACCUCACAGGCUCAUAGGUCACUAUGAGAAGAUUACACAACAUCAAAUAUUUAGCACUGUGCCUAUGCUAAGGUGCAAUAAUAAUAACAAUAAUGAUAACCAGAUGAGGUAACAGUAUCUCCAGAAAUGUUUAAUAAAUGUUUGACAAACAGAGGCUGAACUUUAGUGAUCUCUAGAACCAAUGCCUUUCAGAUCUAGGACUCCUAGACUUCCCCAGAACCUGUCCAUCUUUAAAAGGAACCACAGGAAAUGUGCUUAAAAGAAGUUUUGAGACUCACCUAGCAGUCUAGCCUUGUAUUUACUGUCUUCCAACAUCUCUAGCUCCUCUAGGGAUGUCCCUCACUAGGGUGACCAACUGUCUGGGUUUGCCAACAACUAAGAGGUUUCCUGAGAUGUGGGAAUUUCCAUGCUAAAACUGGGUAAGUCCCAGGAAAACCAGGACAAGUUGGUCAGCCUACACCAGCACUGGCACUCAAGCAGGGCCAUAAGCACUGUGCCUGAAGCAGUUCCCUCAAGGGCUGCCAGGAACAGCGGGCAGUAGGUUGCCUGUGCUGAAGCCACUGAACGGGAAAUCCCAAAAGCCCCCUGUUCCUCCACUAUCUGAAAUACGCCCAGGUAAGGAGGCUUGCCAGGUAAAAUACACGAUGCCUGAUUAAACUUGAAUUUCAGAUAAACAACAAACAAUUGUUUAGGAUAUGUAAGUAUGUCCCAAUAGCGUAUGGGAUAUACUUAUAUUAAAAAAUUGUUUAUUGUUUCUCUGAAAAUCAAAUUUAACUGGGUGCCCUGUAUUUUUAUUUGCUGAUUCUGGCAACCUGACAAGCAAGGGCAGUAUGCCAUGGCAAGCCAGGCUGGCUUCUGGGGAGGGAGCCAGGGGAGUUGCAAGGGAAACCUCAAAUAAGAAAUCAUGAUUCCCUAUGGACACACCUACUCUGCAUUUCAGUACCCAGUUCCUUCAUCCUGUGAGCCUUACCGGCCCCCCAGCCACACCUAGCUCUAGGGAAGAUCAUUUGGGGCAAGGCAAGAUGCCAUGGGCCCUGAGGCAGGCUGCAUAAUGCAGUCGUUAGGGACUGGGGCUUUGUAACAAGCCAAAUUGGGCUCAUAUCCCACUCUAGCUUAGGACAUAGGACAAUUAGUAGCGAUUGUUGUUAAUACUUAGAGUCUGACCUUCCCCCUGCUUGUCUUCUCUCGUGUCUUCUGAUCCUGCAUCCAGCACUUUGCCAGGCUUUGAGGGGACUACAGAGAAAUGGGAAGAUUUCUGGACACAGCCCUCACGUGAGGGAGGUUAAAGCCUCCUCGUCUAGACAGCAUAUUAGAGACUUUAACCAAAUAGAGAUUCAGACACAACUGACAUUGAGCACCUACCUGUGUUUGGCCGGCCCUCAAUGCCCAUGUAAACCAGAUGUCAGCAGAGGGUCAGCCUUUUCUUCCUAAGUCAGAUGAAAUUGGCUCGAGCUCCCAUCCGACCCUUUGUCGGGGAAGUCUGGUGUCUUCCCCAAGAUUUCUGAGAAUUCUGAGGGAGCUCAGAAUCCCAUGACCAAUUCUGGUUCUGAAUUUGGGCUCCUAAUGAACUGCUUAUUCACACCCCGUUCAUCUUCCAUGGCCACUCCCAUCUUCCUACUUUUUGUUACACCAGAUUGGGAACACUGCUUUUCUUUUUGGAUUUGUAUCAAAACCUCUCACACGAAGGAUUUAUGCAAGUAGCAGAAUUUAUCAAGGUUUGGGUAUAUGGGGGGCAUAUAUUAUAGCAACACAAACAAUUAAAAAUUGAUUUCUAGACAUUCCUGUAUUUAAAAGUCCUUGGCUAUGUUGCUACUUAGAAUUUCUCUGCAAAAUCCAACCUCCUGCCGUGAACUCACGCUUGCUCCUUUCUCCCAUUUUCUCCUGUUUCUUCUCUGUCCCACCCCAAAUUCAUGUUUAUUUCUUACGAAGAGCAGUUUAGCUGCAUAUGGGCUAUCUUCCAAUCCUUUCUGUUGGAGCUUCUUCUUCCCUGAAAUUGCCCUUCAGAGUAUUUUCCUUUAAAAAAAAACCUGUCCCUUUCUUAAGAGAAACCCUGAUGUCAACUAAUAAAAUAAUCAUUCUAUCACCUCAUUCCUCUUGCACAAACGUAAUCCCUGUUAAUCUCACAACACGUGAGGUAUGGUUGUUAUACCCAUUUUACACAUGAGCAAACUGAGGCUUCUGAAGCUCACAGCUACCACUGGAAGAACUAGGAGUCAAACUUAGUUCUUCUAAGUCUGAGUCUAGUGUUCUUCCCACUACGCCAAGAGCAUUGCUGCAGAGAGAAUAUAUCCGAAAGUGCUGAAUGGUGUACUACAAACAAUUAGAAAUAUGUCAGGGAUCGGGGUUGGAGAAAUUGCUCUCAGGUAGAGGGUUCCCUGACUGGGGAAAAUGGUCUACUGCAGGCUACAAGCCUCUCCUUCAAGCCAGCUCCAGAGCCAGCAGAGCAGCGUUGUCUGUCUAUAGGAAAAUCACAGGCACCCAGAUUCACUAGGCCACUGGAUUCCUGAGUUGUUUAAUCUAGGAGCCACUUCAGGCACAACCUAGCUAUCACACCUUCGUUUUGUUUUUUAAACAAAUUUUACUUCUAGGUCUUACGGCAGCCCAAAGAAGUGGCUACUGCUACUUUGUCCAAUUUACAGAUGAGCAUGCUGAGUAUCAGAGAGCUCAAGUGACUUGCCCAAGGUCACAUAGCUAGUAAGUGGCAGGAACCAAAGUACGGGCUCUCCAGCUUCGUGUGUUGUCAGGGCCCUUCAGCAAAAGACCCCCAGGAAUACACCUGUGUUUGAUAAAGUUGGGUUUAUUGCUUGUUACAGCAAAAGGAGACACCCUGUCACUCCACUGUCCCCCAAGUUUCUCCCUCGUGGCUACGAGCAAUAAGCCCAACUUGUUCAACCCCAGGUGUGCUCCUGGUGGUCUUGGGCUAGAGGCCAUUGACAGCAAUGGAGGUUCACUGAAAUUCAGCUGAAGCCCUCACUUCCUUGGACCCAGAUCUCCCACCUAGUAAUGGUGACCACAUCUGAGACUCCAUGUGUCUAUCUGUUUGAGACGCAGGGCUGCCCAUAGCUGGGAGCGUUACAGUUGGCUGAUGUAUCCUGUCUAGAGUUUCAAAUGAUAUUAUACAACCACUGUCACGUCAGAGGACUCAACAACUCAUCUUGCAGCAUAACAAGCAGAACAGACGAACUCUAAUCCUACUACAGACUACCUUCUCUAAGCAACCUCCUGAUCAGCACAAUCGUGGCAAUGCUGAAAGUCUGGAUGCCAUUGAUUAAUGUCUUGUAGCCUGACUUCAUCUGCCCUUGGCUAAAAGAGAGGCACUAAGCAGCCCCUGACAGCUAGGACCUGAUCUCGUACUAUCAGUUGAGCCUUGCUGUUUUCCCGCUAAACAAUUUCACAGAACAUCGUCAUCAAAUAAGGCCAAGUUGUGAUCUUAAUGGAUCAAGACCAAAAAAGACCACUGUGGAGGCUGAAAUAACUCAGUUGGGAGAGCAUUUGACUGAAAAGACCACUGUGUAAUCAGAUUUGAACAUGGAAAACAUGAACAAUAUCUAAACCAUAGAAAUGAC